rnacentral:tRNA from 1 species
GCCCACGUAGCUCAGGCGGUGGAGCACUUCCUUGGUAAGGAAGAGGUCACCGGUUCAAAUCCGGUCGUGGGCUCCA